GGCGGCAGUAGCGCGGUGGUCCCACCUGACCCCAUGCCGAACUCAGAAGUGAAACGCCGAAGCGCCGACGCAGUAUCACCACAAAAGACACAGGACAGAGC
rnacentral:rRNA from 1 species